CUGUAUAAUAUGUUACAUAAUCUUUAACUGGUUCACACAUCUAUUUUAGUCUAUCCCAUAGGCAUACCUUCCCAUGAUAGCGUCCCAGAAGGCAUUUUGCUUGAAAUUAAAUCCCAUACCAAUUUUUCCUGAAACUAGAACAUAUUUCUAUUUCUUAGAUCAUAUUGCAGCAGAAGUUAGGACGAGAGCUGUGGUGAUCAACACUGGGUAGAGAACAGGGAGUGGCUGCCCUGCACUGCUUGUCUUGUGCAGGCAGAAAGGGACGAUGGGAUAAGGUCCUUUUCUGAAAAGGUAGCAGAGAUUCUACAAGUGUCUCCACACUAGUGCCCAUCCAGUAGGACCCUUGGAAGAACAAUUGUUUUUCCCUCUCUCCCUGCACCCAGUCACAAUGGGCGACAGUUACGGCAGUUGGGGGGAAGCUACCAAUGUGCGAGUCUGAAGCCCAGGUGAACUGUGAGCCGGUUCCCUUUGCCCUUAGCAACUGGAAGCCUGUGGACAUUUUUCCCCUUCCCUACCCACCAUGCUUGGUUUUUCUGUAAGGGUGGGGAGCAUGGGUGGGAAAGAGGAGGCUGGGGCAGGGUCCACUGAGUUGCACACUUGGACUAGUAGCUCUUAGGUCUUGGAUUGGUAGAUUGCUUUCAGUGCUGUAAGUAUGCCAUGGAAGAAGGUACAGAGUUUAACUGGCAUCUGUGUUGUGUUUAGUCUGUGUUGACAUUUGGACAGGGAGAUUGUGUUCUUGAUCUAGUUAUUCAUUCAGUUAACAUUAUUAAGUCUGGAACAUGAAAACCCCUGCUGGGGGCUGCAUAAUCAGAGGUGGGGCUGACCUCAAAGGGCUGGCCUUUGAGUGAAGCUCUGGUAGAGGACUGUUUCAGAGGCCUAAAUGUGUGUGCAGAGUACAGUGACUCAGUGAAGAAUGGCAAAUUUUUGAGUGGCUGCGCCAGUGUCAGCUUGGUGGAGUAGAAAGAGAUGAGCCAGCUGCCAUGCAGUGAACAGCUUCCUUCUGUGAUCCUAUUCUGCCAUGCCAUUUCUGACUUGAGCCAACCUACCACGGACUCAAUCCACUGAAACUCAGGCAGGUGAAACCACUGAGCUAAAUCACCGGCCCUUCACUGAUUUUUGUUUCGGACAGACAGACUUGGAAUCUCCUCAUUUGGAACCCGUCAUUUACUACCAUGUAGCUUGUCCAAGCACUGCCCAAAAGUAGAGGAGAGCUAAAUCUUUCAAGUAAAAGCUACCACUGCAGCCUCUACCAGUUUAAAGAGACAGUAACUCCGCAUUUUAUAAAUAUUCUCGCUCCUUCCUUCCUUCUGCAGAGCACUGCUCUCACUUCAAAUUGUGCAUAACUUUGCCAGCUCGUGUUUCUUUUUUCCCCCUUAUUCAACUCCAUACCUUAUUCUGGAUCAAAUACUACAACAGAUGUAAUAAUUACAAAACCAACGUGGUUAAUAAAAGAUCCCUUCCAAUCCGUUUCAGUAAGUUUAAGAGGCACAAUGAAAUAAUGAUGAAUGCAACUACGUGUCACUUAUAAAAUUACCAUUAUGGCAGAUAAAAACUCCAAUGAAGGAAAAGAGUAGAUCCAAAGGUAAAAGCAGCUGCCUUUUGCCAUCAGUCUAGGAACAGGCAUCUGACCCCACAGGGCUUCCAAAGAAGUUAAUGUAAGGAAUGCGCCCUUUGCAGCUCGGCCACAAGCAAAAAUGAAGCAAGAAGCACAUCAGUUUGGAACUUUCCCCCAAAGGCUCUAGUUCUCCAAAGUAGGUUCCUAACUCCCACCUACAGAGAGAAAGCCAGUGCCAGAGGCAGCACCCAGGGACAAGCAAAUUAGCAUUUCUAAGGUCAGCUGCUGACAGGCUUAACUGUUUACAGCAACCAGACUCUUUGGGCUGCUGAAGCUAAAGGUUUAACCGCUCUGGCUUACUCAGUACCACAAGAAACCAAUUUACCACGUCAGCUUCUGAAUAUGAAUCCUCUAGAUGCAGAUUCAAAUUAACAUACAACAUCUCAUACAGAAGCAAAUAUUAACUAGAUCAUUUUUCAUUUUAAGCUGGCUAAACAAGGUUUUUCUCAAGAACCUAAAAUACAACCAUUUCAGUGGUAGACGAAUAACAAGUACAAAAGAAAUCAACAGAGAAUAUCUUGUUUUACCAACUGUGAUUUAACCAAAACUGCUAAAAAGUUGCAAAGUCAAUUGGUUUGGUUACCUCUCCAAUUUUUUGCCUUUCUCUGACAAGUCACAGGAAAGUGAAAUAAUCUAUAUCCCGAUUAUCUAAAUCAGCAGCCACAUGCUACCUGUGCCUACUAAGCAGAGGAAAUGCGGCUUACCCAGAGUGAGGUGCAGUGUUACAAUUAUGAUUUUUAGCUCCCCCUCAAAGACUAUCAAAAUAACUCAAUAACUUUCAUACUGAUUACAUGUUGAAAUAGUCUGAAUAUGCUGGAUUAAAAAUAUUAAUCUCUCCUCUUUACCUUUUGUAAUGAAGACAGUAGAAAAUUUCAAGUUACACAUGUGGCUGAACUGUAUUUUUAUUGGACCGCAGUGCUAUAUGUA